rnacentral:rRNA from 1 species
UACGUAGGGUGCGAGCGUUAAUCGGAUUUACUGGGCGUAAAGCGUGCGCAGGCGGCCCGUUAAGACAGGUGUGAAAUCCCUGGGCUCAACCUAGGAAUCGCGCUUGUGACUGGCGGGCUCGAGUACGGUAGAGGGGGGUGGAAUUCCUGGUGUAGCAGUGAAAUGCGUAGAGAUCAGGAGGAACACCGAUGGCGAAGGCAGCCCCCUGGGCCUGUACUGACGCUCAUGCACGAAAGCGUGGGGAGCAAACAGG